rnacentral:rRNA from 1 species
AGAGUUUGAUCCUGGCUCAGGAUGAACGCUGGCGGCGUGCUUAACACAUGCAAGUCGAACGAUCCUUCGGGAUAGUGGCGGACGGGUGAGUAACGCGUGGGAAUCUGCCCUCAGGAGGGGGAUAACGGCUGGAAACGGCCGCUAAUACCCCAUAUGCCGAGAGGUGAAAUGAAUUUCGCCUGAGGAUGAGCCCGCGUCUGAUUAGCUAGUUGGUGGGGUAAAGGCCUACCAAGGCGACGAUCAGUAGCUGGUCUGAGAGGAUGAUCAGCCACACUGGGACUGAGACACGGCCCAGACUCCUACGGGAGGCAGCAGUGGGGAAUUUUCCGCAAUGGGCGAAAGCCUGACGGAGCAACGCCGCGUGAGGGAUGAAGGCCUCUGGGCUGUAAACCUCUUUUCUCAAGGAAGAAGAACUGACGGUACUUGAGGAAUAAGCCACGGCUAAUUCCGUGCCAGCAGCCGCGGUAAUACGGGAGUGGCAAGCGUUAUCCGGAGUUAUUGGGCGUAAAGCGUCCGCAGGCGGCCUUGUAAGUCUGUUGUUAAAGCGUGGAGCUCAACUCCAUUUAAGCAAUGGAAACUACAAGGCUGGAGUGUGGUAGGGGCAGAGGGAAUUCCCGGUGUAGCGGUGAAAUGCGUAGAUAUCGGGAAGAACACCAGUGGCGAAGGCGCUCUGCUGGGCCAUAACUGACGCUCAUGGACGAAAGCCAGGGGAGCGAAAGGGAUUAGAUACCCCUGUAGUCCUGGCCGUAAACGAUGAACACUAGGUGUCGGGGGAAUCGACCCCCUCGGUGUCGUAGCCAACGCGCUAAGUGUUCCGCCUGGGGAGUACGCACGCAAGUGUGAAACUCAAAGGAAUUGACGGGGGCCCGCACAAGCGGUGGAGUAUGUGGUUUAAUUCGAUGCAACGCGAAGAACCUUACCAGGGUUUGACAUCCUGCAAAUCCCUUGGAAACGAGGGAGUGCCUUCGGGAGCGCAGUGACAGGUGGUGCAUGGCUGUCGUCAGCUCGUGUCGUGAGAUGUUGGGUUAAGUCCCGCAACGAGCGCAACCCACGUCUUUAGUUGCCAGCAUUCAGUUGGGCACUCUAGAGAGACCGCCGGUGAUAAACCGGAGGAAGGUGUGGAUGACGUCAAGUCAUCAUGCCCCUUACAUCCUGGGCUACACACGUACUACAAUGCUACGGACAAAGGGCAGCAAGCUCGCGAGAGUUAGCAAAUCCCAUAAACCGUGGCUCAGUUCAGAUCGUAGGCUGCAACUCGCCUACGUGAAGGAGGAAUCGCUAGUAAUCGCAGGUCAGCAUACUGCGGUGAAUACGUUCCCGGGCCUUGUACACACCGCCCGUCACACCAUGGAAGUUGGCCAUGCCCGAAGUCGUUACUCCAACCCUUGUGGAGGAGGACGCCGAAGGUGGGGCUGAUGACUGGGGUGAAGUCGUAACAAGGUA